UGUCGACAUUAUAGUUGCGCAGGCACUUUGGUGACUCUAGAGAACCUCGGGCCAAUCUCAUGUCCCCAUGACAGCGACUUUGCAUUCAGAUGUCUGCUCUAUCAACUUUUGAUGCCACUUUCUGCACCUACCAUGGUGACCAUGGGUAACGGGGAAUCAGGGUUUGAUUCCGGAGAAGGAGCCUGAGAAAAAGGCUUCCACAUCCAAGUAAGGCAGCAGGCGUGCAAAUUACCCACUCCCGACGCUGGGACGCGGGGAGGUAGUGACGACA